rnacentral:rRNA from 1 species
UAGGGACUAAAAUUUUUUGAAUAUUUAAACCCAAUUAGUAUGGCGGUCAGCAGGAAUUUUAGGGGAACUUACCUGAUAAUUGAUAACCCCCAAGGAGAUCCACUUAACUUAAAAGCUUGUAUACCGCCGUUUUUAACUUUCCUUUAGAGAGGUAAGUGAGAACUUCUUAGAGUAUUUAACAGGUCAAAGUGCAGCCUAUAGUUAAGGUGUAAGGCGAGUUACUUUAAUUAUUUUUUAUCCCCGAUUUGUUUUAAAACAAAUCGGGGAUAGGACUUGAAAGUAAAAUAUACUUUUUGUAUUAUUAUUUGAAUUUUUUACCUGUUGGUGU